UACGUAGGGUGCGAGCGUUAAUCGGAAUUACUGGGCGUAAAGCGUGCGCAGGCGGUUGUGCAAGGCAGAGGUGAAAUCCCCGGGCUUAACCUGGGAACUGCAUUUGUGACUGCAUAGCUGGAGUGCGGCAGAGGGGGAUGGAAUUCCGCGUGUAGCAGUGAAAUGCGUAGAUAUGCGGAGGAACACCGAUGGCGAAGGCAAUCCCCUGGGCCUGCACUGACGCUCAUGCACGAAAGCGUGGGGAGCAAACAGG
rnacentral:rRNA from 1 species